rnacentral:lncRNA from 1 species
CUUCGCGUCCCGCCUCUCGCCUGGCUGGCCGUGGGGGGCCUGGACGCAGUGGCCUCCCGAAUCUCCCAGGACCCUAAUAUCGCCCGAGGAUGCUGGGAGGAACGCUGAGCCGACCUCUCCGUUAGGCUGAAGAUUGCACAAACCAUGCUAAUGGCCAGCAUGGAUGGAGGGAGCGUGUGAGAUGUGUGGGGCAGCGUGCUGCAUCUCAGCCAACUCCAGGAGCCAGUUGAUGUGAUGGACUACCUUAAUUGAUUUUUGAAUGUUGAGCCAGCCUUAUGCAUGUGGGAUAAACCCCUGUUGAUCAUGGACAUUUUUAAAUUCUAGGUAUAGAGCAAUAAAAGAAGAAUUCAAGCAAAGGGAUCAGGAAGAGGAUUGCUACUAAGAGGCAGAGAAACCAAUGAAGCCUUUUGCCAUCUCACACUGGAAAGACAAAAAGUCAUAGAGGCUUGAUUUUUAUAAGGAAAGA